rnacentral:rRNA from 1 species
CGCGGCAUACAGCUCAGUAACACGCUGGCCAAUCUGCCCUUAGGACAAGAACAACCCCGGGNAAACUGGGGCUAACUCCUGAUAGGCGAAGAACACUGGAAUGUGUCUUCACCUAAAAAACUCCGCGUUACGCUCGUGGAGUCGCCUAAGGAUGAGGCCGCGACCGAUCAGGUUGUUGGUGAGGUAAUGGCUCACCAAGCCUUUAACCGGUGCGGGCCGUGAGAGCGGGAGCCCGGAGAUGGGCACUGAGACAAGGGCCCAGGCCCUACGGGGCGCAGCAGUCGCGAAAACUUUGCAAUAAGCGAAAGCUUGACAGGGCUAUCCCGAGUGCCAUCCGCUGAGGAAGGCUUUUACCCAGUCUAAAACGCUGGGGGAAUAAGGAGAGG